rnacentral:rRNA from 1 species
CAGGGGGGGCAAGCGUUGUUCGGAAUUACUGGGCGUAAAGGGCUCGUAGGCGGCCAACUAAGUCCGACGUGAAAUCCCAAAGCUUAACUUUGGAACUGCGUCGGAUACUGGAUGGCUUGAAUUCGGGAGAGGGAUGCAGAAUUCCAGGUGUAGCGGUGAAAUGCGUAGAUAUCUGGAGGAAUACCGGUGGCGAAGGCGGCAUCCUGGACCGACAUUGACGCUGAGGAGCGAAAGCUAGGGGAGCAAACGGGAUUAGAUACCCCGGUAGUCCUAGCCCUAAACGAUGAAUGCUUGGUGUGGCGGGUAUCGAUCCCUGCCGUGCCGAAGCUAACGCAUUAAGCAUUCCGCCUGGGGAGUACGGUCGCAAGGCUG